rnacentral:rRNA from 1 species
AUGCGCGCUCUUCGGCACAAGGACAAGGAGAAAAUGAUAAACAAAAAAAGGCAGGGCGCAGGUGGUACUGCAUGCAGUCCACUCCUCGGCACGUACGUACGUACUGCUAGCUCGCCGCGGCAGCCGGCAGAGCCUGAUGAGAAGGCCAGGCUAGUUGUGCAGCGGAUUGGGGCCCUGGGGUACCAUCCUCUUGGACUCGUCGUACGCCGCUCCUCCCGCCUCGCCGGCGCACGCCGCCGGUCCUGUAUGAAGCACCGUGCCGCCGCGCUUCCGCGCUGCAGCUGCAGCCGUCGCCGCCGCUACUGCGUCCGCCUUGAGAACUCCGCAGAUGCAGGCCGCGGUGCCCAGCUCGGUCGCCACCAGCAGGAGCAGCAGCAGAAGCGACAACGAGAGCGUGUCUGGCAAUGGAGGAGUGCCAGCGCCACCGGCGCGUCGUCUCAUGGCCGACGGCGGAGCUUGGCUAAGGCAGCGGAUUGGAGGGACAGAGCAGGUGGUGGUUUGGUUGUCCCGUGGCGAGAUUUGAGGAGUUGUCUGCGUUGUGUAGGGAGGUAG